rnacentral:rRNA from 1 species
AUUGAACGCUGGCGGCAUGCCUUACACAUGCAAGUCGAACGGCAGCACGGGGCAACCUGGUGGCGAGUGGCGAACGGGUGAGUAAUGCAUCGGAACGUGCCAUUGAGUGGGGGAUAACGUAGCGAAAGUUGCGCUAAUACCGCAUAUUCUGUGAGCAGGAAAGCAGGGGACCGCAAGGCCUUGCGCUCUUUGAGCGGCCGAUGUCAGAUUAGCUAGUUGGUGAGGUAACGGCUUACCAAGGCGACGAUCUGUAGCGGGUCUGAGAGGAUGAUCCGCCACACUGGAACUGAGACACGGUCCAGACUCCUACGGGAGGCAGCAGUGGGGAAUUUUGGACAAUGGGCGCAAGCCUGAUCCAGCCAUGCCGCGUGAGUGAAGAAGGCCUUCGGGUUGUAAAGG